AAAGGCGAUCCAGCUGAAUGUGGGGAUCCAAAGUGCCAAUUUAUCUGUGAUAGUAACAAAACUAUCUUGGACUAUCACUCAGGCAAAUAUCAUGCGACCAAAUCUUACGAGAUGAUUAAUAUCUUUUUUGAGAAGCAAGGAAGAAAAGGAUAUUUUCCCAGAGCGAUAUAUUAUAUAUUAAUAUUUAAUAUUUACAUAUUUAUUUCAGAUUGUA
rnacentral:lncRNA from 1 species